rnacentral:lncRNA from 1 species
GGCAACAGCCCCACUGGAGGCAGUACUUACCAAUGUUGAAUGCACAGCAGCAAGUGCUAGAAGCAGGGCAUGAGUGAGAAUUGUCACACUGCGACGGUGGUUUGAUGGGAGAGGGAGGAGAGGGAGGACUUGGAGGAGGGUUGGGUCCCUUCUUAAUUGGGAAAGAGGCCUCGAUGUUGAUACCACACUUCCCGUCAGUAGAGUCAGAGCCGAAACGCUCCAUACGGAUGUAACCUUU